ensembl:snoRNA
ACGAACAAUGUUGAGACCAAGUUGUGAAGCAGGGAGUAUGAUUAAUCUAAUUCUGUGUUUCAGAGGUCCAUA